UACAAGAAGAAGAUUUUGGGGAAAAAAAAGAAAAAGGGAAACUGCUUGCUUUAGUAAUGAAGCUUCUACUUUUAAUCAUAUAAAAACAAAUAAAUGCAGCCAAAAGCUAUAGGAAUUAAAGGUUAAGUAGAAGCAAAGCAAAAUUUUAUUGUCUCUUUUAGAAAACGGCCAAGCAUCAUGAUCGAUCCUUGGGGAGUUUGGAAGUGUGCAAGAACUCGUACGAGGUUCUCGCAAGGACAAACGUGGAAGCUGCAUUUACAUGAAUUUCAUAGCCUGAUUCCACCUGACAUGAUUUUGGGGCUAAGAAACGUUAGGCUCUCAUUUAAAGGAAAAAGUUUUUUGUUUGAUGUAACGAUGAUUUUUAUCAAUAUUUGAUAUUAAUGAAUCUCAAUUAUUCAUAAAUUAAA